rnacentral:rRNA from 2 species
CCCAACGACUCUCGGCAACGGAUAUCUCGGCUCUCGCAUCGAUGAAGAACGUAGCGAAAUGCGAUACUUGGUGUGAAUUGCAGAAUCCCGUGAACCAUCGAGUCUUUGAACGCAAGUUGCGCCCGAAGCCGUCAGGCCAAGGGCACGUCUGCCUGGGCGUCAC